rnacentral:rRNA from 1 species
UACGGGGGGAGCAAGCGUUGUUCGGAUUUACUGGGCGUAAAGGGCGCGUAGGCGGCGUAACAAGUCACUUGUGAAAUCUCCCGGCUUAACUGGGAGGCGCCAUUCAAUACUGAGGAGCUUGAGGUCAGCAGGGGAAAGUGGAAUUCCCGGUGUAGUGGUGGAAUGCGUAGAGAUCGGGAGGAACACCAGUGGCGAAAGCGACUUUCUGGGCUGCACCUGACACUCUAGUGCGAAAGCGUGGGGAGCAAACAGG